rnacentral:rRNA from 1 species
AUACGGAGGGUGCAAGCGUUAUUCGGAAUCACUGGGCGUAAAGGACGCGUAGGCGGGUUGGCAAGUCAGAUGUGAAAUCCUACAGCUUAACUGUAGAACUACAUUUGAAACUGCUAACCUAGAGUAUGGGAGGGGGAGAUGGAAUUAGUGGUGUAGGGGUAAAAUCCGUAGAUAUCUCUAGGAAUACCGAAAGCGAAGGCGAUCUCCUGGAACAUAACUGACGCUAAGGCGUGAAAGCGUGGGGAGCAAACAGGAUUAGAAACCCUAGUAGUCC